GAUGAAGAACGCAGCGAAAUGCGAUAAGUAAUGUGAAUUGCAGAAUUCAGUGAAUCAUCGAAUCUUUGAACGCACCUUGCGCCCUUUGGCCAUUCCGAAGGGCAUGCCUGUUUGAGUAUCAUGAACACCUCAACUCUUUAUGGUUUUCCAUGAUGAGCUUGGACUUUGGGGGUUUUGCUGGCCUAUGGUCGGCUCCUCUAAAAUAAAUCAGCUUACCAGUGUUUGGUGGGUAUCAUGGGUGUGAUAACUAUCUACGCUUGUGGUUUUUCCGCCAGGUAACCUUCGACAGCGGAGGUUCACUGGAGCUCAUAGAUGUCUCUCCUCAGCGAGGACAGCCCUUUGAAUGUUUGAUCUCAAAUCAGGUAGGACUACCCGCUGAACUUAAGCAUAUCAAUAGCGGAGGA
rnacentral:misc_RNA from 1 species